GAAGGGAGAGGAGGACGAAGAGGAGGACGGGAGGAAGAAGAGAGGCUCGGAGGGUGGGAAUGGGGUCCAGGGUCAUCUCCAAAGAGAAAACAACAUUCUUGGGAGCUGACAACACUGAUGUCUCGAGCAGAAAAACAAUUCUCUGCAACACCCCUGCUGCAUUCCUUCAGUCCAGCAGAGGGUAUAGAAGUAAACGUCCAAGGGCACGGGGGUGACAGGGAGAGGGAGAGAAAAGGAGAGGGGAUGGCUGGUGUUUCCCCAGAGCGGGGAUUCUCAAGCACCAGUAAUCUGACCCCUCCGAGGACACGUGGCAACGUCUGGAGGCAAUUUUUGGCUAUCACAACUGUGGUGUGAGCGGGGAGGAAGAGUUCCUGCUACUGGCGUGUGGUCACCGAGGUCGGGGACUCUGCGGCACAUCCCCCCCCCCCCCCCCCGCCCCGAGAUUACCCAGCCCCGAAGAUCCGUCCUUUGCAAACGCCCCAGAAGAGCUCGCUUCGGGGGUGGAACCAAUGGAAGAGUGACAGAGGCCCAGCAACACGGCGGGAUUGGCGCGCGGACGCGAGCACGUGACGCGCUGAGCUCACAAAGGGCCUGGGGUGUUGGGCUGCUGGGGGCGGGGUGGGCGGUGCUGGUGGGACUGGUGCCCGUCUGUCUGCCUGCCUUUCCUCCUUCCAAAGGAUUUGGUUCCCCUGAAGGUCAUAACCAUGUUUGGGACUUAACUCAGCACCAUGAGAAAAUCCAACAGCCCAGCGGUCAGCAAACAUUUCCCCCAAGAGAGAGGAUGAGAUCAAGGGCUGGCUGGGAACCGUUUGCCUUGCUUUGUCAUUGUCAUGUCAUAGGUAACCAUAAAAGGUAAUAAUCAAAGGCGUCUGAAGUUUGGGGGGGGGGGGGGGCGGGGGGAGAAGCCCAAGGGACUCUUCAUUUUCCUGUUUACUUGCGUGCAUUUGGCUCGUGUGGCCUCGUGUGGCCGAACUCAGACCGCCCCGUUUAAAAAUAACCAGUUUCAUGCCCUACCUCUGGGACAGUCAGACUUUAAAAAGUUCCAGUGCUCAAAUAUGCCUGCUUUAGGAAGGUUAAGAAGUUAGUUAGCCUGUUGGAGAUUUGGUUUGUUUUUAAUUCGUUGCAGUUGUGGCGACAUACACACGUAACGAAAUGUACCACCUUAACCAUUUUAAAGUGUACCGUUCACGGAUGCGGGAAACAAAGG